rnacentral:rRNA from 1 species
ACAUGCAAGUCGAACGAAGGCUUCGGCCUUAGUGGCGCACGGGUGCGUAACGCGUGGGAAUCUGCCCUCUGGCACGGAAUAACUCAGGGAAACUUGAGCUAAUACCGUAUAAUGACUUCGGUCCAAAGAUUUAUCGCCUGAGGAUGAGCCCGCGUAGGAUUAGCUUGUUGGUGAGGUAAAGGCUCACCAAGGCGACGAUCCUUAGCUGGUCUGAGAGGAUGAUCAGCCACACUGGGACUGAGACACGGCCCAGACUCCUACGGGAGGCAGCAGUGGGGAAUAUUGGACAAUGGGCGAAAGCCUGAUCCAGCAAUGCCGCGUGAGUGAUGAAGGCCUUAGGGUUGUAAAGCUCUUUUACCCGGGAUGAUAAUGACAGUACCGGGAGAAUAAGCCCCGGCUAACUCCGUGCCAGCAGCCGCGGUAAUACGGAGGGGGCUAGCGUUGUUCGGAAUUACUGGGCGUAAAGCGCACGUAGGCGGCUUUGUAAGUUAGAGGUGAAAGCCCGGGGCUCAACUCCGGAAUUGCCUUUAAGACUGCAUCGCUUGAGUUGUGGAGAGGUAAGUGGAAUUCCGAGUGUAGAGGUGAAAUUCGUAGAUAUU